GAAAUAAGACAAAUUGAGUACUCCCGAAAAUAAAAGAUCUAGGAAUUAUAUUUGACAUUGCAUUAUUUUAUAGCAUACUGUUGCAUUAGUACAUAAAAAUAUACUCCUAGGGGUGAAAGACCUUCACUUUUAUAGAUAUCUGGAUAAAUAUUAAAUAAAUUUAGUUUACAAAAUAGUUACAGUGUGAUAAGAUAAUGUAAAAAGAAUUUAUAGUAAGUAUUUUAUCAACCCUUAACUAUUACUUAGUGGUGCUAAAUUUAAUAAUAAUACUUUUAUAGUUAAAAUUCAUUUAUAAUAUUUUAUUAUAGUAACGUAGUUAAGAUAGUAAAUAAUGUAUAAAUUAGUAGACAUAAUAAAUUAAUUGAAGGAACUCGGCAAAAAGAUUAUACGACUGUUUAACAAAAACAUAGCCAGUAGAAGCUUUAUUAUUGGUAUGACCUGCCCAGUGAAUUUUUAACGGCCGCAGUACCCUGACUGUGCAAAGGUAGCAUAAUCAUUUGGCUUUUAAUUGAAGUCUGGAAUGAAAGGAAAAACGUAUAAGAACUGUCUCCAGAGUUAAUUUUGUUAAAGUUAAUUUAUGAGGUGAAAAUUCCUCAGUAACAAUAAUAGACGAGAAGACCCUUAGAAUUUUAAGAAAACCACGGACUACACAGUGGGUGAUUUUUGUUGGGGCAACAUUUUUUCAUGAAAUAAGAAAUAGCCAUUAGAUUCAUAACGAAAUAAUAUAAUAAAGUUUAAAUUACCUAAGGGAUAACAGCAUAAUUUUUAAUAAAGAUUGUGACCUCGAUGUUGGACUAGGACCUGCUAAGGCUAAUCGUCUUAGUAUAAUAAGUUCUGUUCGAACUUUACUUCCUA
rnacentral:rRNA from 1 species